rnacentral:rRNA from 1 species
UGCCUCAGUAACGGCGAGUGAAGCGGCAACAGCCCAGAUUUGAAAUCUGGCCCUCGGGCCCGAGUUGUAAUCUGCAGAUGGGUCUUCCGACAGAGCGCCGUCCAAGUGCCCUGGAACGGGUCGCCGGAGAGGGUGAGAGCCCCGUACCGACGCGCGCCGAGUCUCUGUGAAGCUCAUUCGAAGAGUCGAGUAGUUUGGAAAUGCUGCUCUAAUUGUGGGGUAAAUCUCCCAUAAGGCUAAAUACCGGCCAGAGACCGAUAGCGCACAAGUAGCGUGAGCGAAAGAUGAAAAGAGCCUUGAACAAGGGCGUCAAAAAGCAUGUGAAAUUGUUGUGGGGGAAGCGUUCGAUGCCAGACAUGGCGGCGGUUGGUUACCCGGCGUUCUUCGCCGGCGCACUCUGCCGUCGCCAGGCCAGCAUCAGUUCGGAUCGAGGCCUACUGCCAGUGGGAACGUGGCUCUUUCGGGAGUGUUAUAGCCCUCUGGUAACGUCUCGGACCGGACUGAGGACCGCGCUUCGGCUCGGAUGCUGGCGUAAUGGCCUCUAGCGACCCGUCUUGAAACACGGACCAAGGAGUUGACCUAGCGUGCGAGUGUUUGGGUGUCAAGCCCUUACGCGCAGUGAAAGCGAAUGCAGGUGGGAGCUUCGGCGCACCAUCGACCGAUCCUGAAGUUUACGGAUGGAUUUGAGUAAGAGCACGUUGGGUCUGACCCGAAAGAAGGUGAACUAUGCAUGAAUAGGGUGAAGCCAGAGGAAACUCUGGUGGAGGCUCGCAGCGGUUCUGACGUGCAAAUCGAUCGUCAAAUUUGUGCAUGGGG